rnacentral:rRNA from 1 species
CGCGGCCUAUCAGCUUGUUGGUGGGGUAAUGGCCUACCAAGGCGACGACGGGUAGCCGGCCUGAGAGGGUGACCGGCCACACUGGGACUGAGACACGGCCCAGACUCCUACGGGAGGCAGCAGUGGGGAAUAUUGCACAAUGGGCGGAAGCCUGAUGCAGCGACGCCGCGUGCGGGAUGACGGCCUUCGGGUUGUAAACCGCUUUCAGCUCUGACGAAGCUUUUGUGACGGUAGGAGCAGAAGAAGCACCGGCUAACUACGUGCCAGCAGCCGCGGUAAUACGUAGGGUGCGAGCGUUGUCCGGAAUUAUUGGGCGUAAAGAGCUUGUAGGCGGCUUGUCGCGUCUGCUGUGAAAGCCCGGGGCUUAACCCUGGGUCUGCAGUGGGUACGGGCAGGCUAGAGUGUGGUAGGGGAGACUGGAAUUCCUGGUGUAGCGGUGGAAUGCGCAGAUAUCAGGAGGAACACCGAUGGCGAAGGCAGGUCUCUGGGCCAUUUCUGACGCUGAGAAGCGAAAGCGUGGGGAGCGAACAGGAUUAGAUACCCUGGUAGUCCACGCCGUAAACGUUGGGCGCUAGGUGUGGGUCCCAUUCCACGGGGUCCGUGCCGCAGCUAACGCAUUAAGCGCCCCGCCUGGGGAGUACGG